CGCCCUAGUUCUUUUUAUAUGUCAUAACCUUAGACAGCGUGCUGGUUCGCAGAACCAUUUAUGUGUGUGUGUGUGUGUUUGUGUUACCAAGGUGAGGACUUGCUUUGGCAAUUUUGGCAAAAACGAAAAACCCCUAAGAGAUAACUCUUCGGAUGUUAUUGGUGCGUGUUUGUGUGGCUCGAACACAUCGAUGCAGAUAAUUUAUUACAGUCAUAAUUUACUUAUUACAUAUGUGCCAAAAUAAGACACGCGUCGCUUACACUUCUCUAGUUCUGAUGUUGUCCGCGAGAAUGCCUGUAUGAAAUGGGGUGGGGUUGCGAUAUUGGGAUUUGGUGGUCAGGGGCCAUAAAGACUGAAGGCGAGUCCCAUCGUAAAAUGUGUGCAUGUCUCUGAAUGUGCUUUAUGGGGUCCACUGUAAGCGAUGUCUAUUUUUUUUUUUUUUUUUUUUUACAAAUUAUGAUGCAAGUUAAUACUUUUUUUGUAUAACUACCUCAAUACACGUGUUUAUUGAUGUACAUGUCUGUGUUUAGCAGGAAUAACGAAUGUUUUUAUUGUUCUUAGGUGUGUUAGGUAUAUUUCUUAUAAAAUGCGACAGUUGCACAAACAAGACGUGUUUUGAAAGGGUCAUGUGCUGGGUUUAAUGCAAAAGCGUUAUUUCUCCAUUCAGUUCACGAUCACCAUUCCAGUUCUGAAUGAUAUUUGUGUAUGCAACAAAAUUAGAAAUGUUCGGAUUGUGUAAAGAUAGACGCAAAGUCCAAAAACUCAAUGCUACCGAGAUUACGAAGUUCAAAGCUACAGAAAUCUGUCAAUUGCACUUAAACCGCGAGCUCUUCAGAUCGGCGGGCUUUCUCUGCUUUAGGACUGCUGUAUGCUGCACUUUGGAGUUCGGGAGCCGGUAAACCGCGGUCUGUGCAUUUCAUUUUCAUUAAGGGUACAGUGCAGUUAGCGUCCAUGUUUAGGUUUAAAUUCAACAUUCCAGGUUUUGUUUUCUUAUUGAGAUGAAGGGCAGUUGCACUGAUCGGCUAGGAAGCCCUUUGCUGACAAAUGGUAACCUUAACCGUAGAUAAAACGUAACAGGUGCAGAGGCUCCAUUGGGGAGGCUUUUCAACAGUCUGGGCUGAACAUUCACUUUAUUCUCUCAUUGGUUAUACAUGUACUGCUUUUUUUCUGAGUGAUUAAUUUAAGCCAUUCUUUUUUCUCGUUUAGAAUUAAUUUCAGUAUUCUUCAACAAGUAAGAAACUGAGUUAGCCUACAUAACAGCGGAAGUAUAGGUCCUCAUAGGUGCUGCCAACCCAGUGCUUCGUCUUGUUUAUUUGACGUGACUGUGCGCUUCAUGUCGGUAUACUGACGUUUGAAAAAGAGUGUUGCAAUUUGAUCAUUUGCUGACCGCUGCUCAAUACCCCCACCUUAUCAACUAGAGCCCACCCUUAAACAGGUUGCACGAGUCUGUGUCAUAAUCUCACAUUUAUUUGAAACUUGUCAUAUCUAAAAACACAUCAGACAAAGAGAGGCUUCCUGUGUUUCUAUUCAUGUUUCCAUGGACUGCUGAGGGGUCAUUUUCUACAGCCUAAAAAUAAUGGAAAUCAUAUAUGCACCUUGAAUGGGAGACACAUUUACCAUGAAGUGGUCUAUUUGAUGACUUUGCACACAGACCCCAAUAGACUGGAGAAAAGGGGGCAUUCAGAAGCAGGACUGUACCAAGGCCAUACUUUGGCUUAGGUUUAGGGACCCAGUAGUUUUGGCUUUUGAUCGGGCAAGGCUAUGCAAACAACUGCCGACUUUACUGGGUGUCAUUUUAGCUGUGGCCACAAGAGGGACACGUUUUGUUGUAAAUGAAGAUGAAUGUUUACUGUAAUUGUGAUGCUACAUUCGCACAAGACAAAUGUAUUUUUUUAUUGUUAAUAAUAACUGUGUUUCAUAUAAAAGUUCCAAUGUACAGUAUAUUUAUUUAAUGCAAUUGUCCAGGAUUUGUUUUUAAAUAAUAAAAUGUAUUUAAGUC